rnacentral:rRNA from 1 species
AUACGUAGGUGCCAAGCGUUAUCCGGAUUUACUGGGCGUAAAGGGCGUGUAGGCGGUCUUGCAAGUCAGAAGUGAAAUUCCUGAGCUCAACUCGGGCGCUGCUUCUGAAACUGCAGGACUUGAGUGCUGCAGGGGAUAGCGGAAUUCCUAGUGGAGCGGUAAAAUGCGCAGAUAUGAGGAAGAACACCGGUGGCGAAGGCGGCUUUCUGGGCAGAAACUGACGCUGAGGCGCGAGAUCGUGGGGGGCAAACAGGAUUAGAUACCCUGGUAGUCCACGCCGUAAACGAGGAAUACUAGGUGGAGGGGGUAGCGAUUCCCUCUGUGCCGCAGUUAACACAAGAAGUAUUCCGCCUGGGGAGUACGGCCGCAAGGUUGAAACUCAAAGGAAUUGACGGGG